GACGAACGCUGGCGGCGUGCUUAACACAUGCAAGUCGAACGGAAAGGCCCCCACCUUGGUGGGGGUGCUCGAGUGGCGAACGGGUGAGUAACACGUGGGUGAUCUGCCCUGUACUUCGGGAUAAGCUUGGGAAACUGGGUCUAAUACCGGAUAGGACCAUGGUUUAGUGUCUCAUGGUGGAAAAAUUAUUGUUUUGGUGCAGGAUGAGCUCGCGGCCUAUCAGCUUGUUGGUGGGGUAAUGGCCUACCAAGGCGUCGACGGGUAGCCGGCCUGAGAGGGUGGACGGCCACAUUGGGACUGAGAUACGGCCCAGACUCCUACGGGAGGAAGCAGUGGGGAAUAGUGCACAAGGGGCGCAAGCCUGAUGCAGCGACGCCGGGUGGGGGAGGACGGCCUUCGGGUUGUAAACUCCUUUCGUUAGGGACGAAGCCACACCUUUUUUGGGUGUGGUGACGGUACCUUUGUUAAGAAGCACCGGCUAACUACGG
rnacentral:rRNA from 1 species